CAAACCGGGAGAUAGCUGGUUCUCCCCGAAAGCUAUUUAGGUAGCGCCUCGUGAACUCAUCUUCGGGGGUAGAGCACUGUUUCGGCUAGGGGGUCAUCCCGACUUACCAACCCGAUGCAAACUACGAAUACCGAAGAAUGUUAUCACGGGAGACACACGGCGGGUGCUAACGUUCGUCGUGAAGAGGGAAACAACCCAGACCGCCAGCUAAGGUCCCAAAGUCAUGGUUAAGUGGGAAACGAAGUGGGAAGGCUCAGACAGCCAGGAUGUUGGCUUAGAAGCAGCCAUCAUUUAAAGAAAGCGUAAUAGCUCACUGGUCGAGUCGGCCUGCGCGGAAGAUGUAACGGGGCUAAACCAUGCACCGAAGCUGCGGCAGCGACAU
rnacentral:rRNA from 1 species